rnacentral:rRNA from 1 species
UACGUAGGGUGCAGGCGUUAAUCGGAAUUACUGGGCGUAAAGCGUGCGCAGGCGGUCUUUUAAGUCAGAUGUGAAAUCCCCGGGCUUAACCUGGGAACUGCGUUUGAAACUGGAAGGCUAGAGUGUGGCAGAGGGGGGUGGAAUUCCACGUGUAGCAGUGAAAUGCGUAGAGAUGUGGAGGAACACCGAUGGCGAAGGCAGCCCCCUGGGCUAACACUGACGCUCAUGCACGAAAGCGUGGGGAGCAAACCG